ensembl:lncRNA
AUGAGCUGCGACGAAGAAGUGGCUGAAAUGGCUGAGGAGGAACGUCGGCAUGAAGCAGAAAGAAUGAGACGAAAGCGGGGUACCAUUCGAGGCGCAACAACGCGGAUUUUGAAUCAGAUUGACGUGGAAAUAUCCCAGUCAAAUCCGGAUACCGAUCACUUGAGUACAUUGUUGGAAUUGUUAUCAACUAAGGAGGACAGUUUGUUUGAACUCGAUCGUGGAAUUGAACAGUUAACGUCAUUGGACGGAUUGGAGGCAGAGAUUGCAUGCACGGAGGAUUACAAAGAACGCAUUAUCAUGCUGAAGAGCCGUGCACAAAGAGUGAUAACGAAGAAACAGGACGUCAAUCCACUACCAGCCCGGGUGAGUGACGCUAACUCAAACAUAUCACAGAGACAAUCAGUAAGGCUUCCGAAGUUGAUUAUUGAGAAAUUCUAUGGAGAUGUCAGUAUGUGGCAGGAGUUUUGGAGCCAAUAUGAGACUGCUAUUCACAACAAUGAUUCACUGUGUAAAAAAGAGAAGUUUACCUAUCUGAAAACAUAUCUCACUGGACCAGCUGCAAAGGCAGUAGCAGGACUGAUGUUAACAGACAGUAACUAUGAUAAUGCAAUCGCUCUACUCAAGAGCAGAUUUGGAAGGAAAGAUCUUGUGAUUAGUGCUCAUAUGUCAAAGCUGCUGAAUCUCACACCUGUGAAGAAAUCCUCUGAUCUAAAUGCAUUGAGGCAGCUAUAUGAUGAAUGUGAAAUUCAGAUUAGGAGCCUGGAAUCACUGGGUGUAGUGUCAGAAACCUAUGGAAGCCUACUAUUCCCAAUCUUACUGCAGAUGAUUCCAGAGGACAUAGCUCUUGACUAUAGUCGUCAGAGGGGAGUAGAUGAUGAAUGGAAAGUGUCUGAGAUCAUCAGUUUCCUACAGAAAGAGGUUCAGAGCAGGGAGAGAGCGCUACAAAUGACAAGAUCAUACAACCAACAGAAAGAGAGCAAACCAUGGAACAAGUCAUGCUUCUCCAAUGAAAUGAAAACAAAAAGACCCAACAUGCCCUCUGCUGCAGCACUGCAUACAACCAGCCAGAAGGAACAACAAACGUGUCUAUUUUGUGACAGUGCAGACCACAAAUCAGAAAACUGCACUGACUACAAUAUUGCUACACGCAAAGAGAAACUAAAGAACAUGGGAAGAUGCUUUGUAUGUUUAGGACAGAGACACAUAGCAAAAUUCUGUAAAGUCAAAGAUGUGUCAUGUGCAACAUGUGGAAGCAGACAUCACAUUGCGGUUUGUACCAGUAAGAGGAGGGAGGUGCAACCCCCUACUGUUUCUGUAGAUGCUGUUGUUUCCUCAGUUAUUCCCCAUUCAGUGAAGAUGAAACCAGAUGGACAGAACACUGUGUUGCUACAAACGGCAAAGGCAUGGGUAGAAGGCCCAUCGGGCAGGAAGAUAGCUCGUUGCUUACUAGAUGGAGGCAGUCAGAGAAGCUUCAUACAUGAAAACCUUGUGAAGGGCUUGAAGCUACCAGUAAUCAGACAAGAGGCACUCACUCUUCACACGUUUGGCUCCUCUGCCCCAGCAACGUCCCAACGCAACACAGUGAAAGUCAUCUUGGAGAAUGUCUGGGACAAACAGCAGAGAAUAGAGAUAGAGGCAAUUGAAACCCCACAAGUGUGCACAGCUGUGAUGAAGGUUCCUGGUGAACGGAUUCAGCAUGAGCUCAGUAAAAGGGGACUGCAGCUCGCAGACUUUCCAGGAGAUGACAAUGAUCCUGAACUCUCUGUCCUGAUAGGAGCAGACUACUACUGGCAGAUAGUAUCAGGCAGAGUGGAGCGACUGACGGAGACGCUAGUUGCUUUAGAGAGCACCUUUGGAUGGUCGGUGCAGGGACCCGUGUCCAUGUCAAGUGUCGCCGAGGCAACUUGCAUGUUCAUCCCACUUGAUGAAGACACACUAGUCUCCAAGCAAUUGCAUGCAUUCUGGGAGCUUGAGUCUCUGGGUAUUCUAAGCGAGAAAACACAGAACUCAGAGGAAACCGAGGCUCUACAAAGAUUUGAGGAAACAACCACCUUCAAAGAUGGGCGAUACCAUGUGGAGUUGCCAUGGAAACGAGAAAUGCCAGAACUCCAAGACAACUAUAGAAUCGCCAAGAAACGGUUUGAAUGUCUGAAGAAAAGGCUGAAGAAGGAUGUGACGUUGUACAGCAGAUACAAUGAAGUAGUAGAAGACUACUUACAACAAGAUAUGGCAGAGGACGUGCCCAAGGACAACGCAUCAAGUGCAGACAACGUAAAAUACUACUUACCUCACCAUGCAGUACUCAGAGAAGAUAAGGUGACAACAAAACUGAGAGUGGUGUUUGAUGCCUCGUCCCAUGAAGAUGGCUGUCCAUCUCUCAAUGACUGUCUACUCACAGGACCGAACCUGAAUCCGGAUCUGCUCAGCGUUCUGAUAAAGUUCAGACUACAUGAGAUCGCAUUCAUGGCAGACAUCAAGAAAGCUUUCCUGCAGAUAUCCCUAGCAGAGAGAGACAGAGACGCCGUGAGAUUUCUAUGGCUCACUGGCCCACCAAGGGGAGAAAAUGAAGAGGAGCUGCGUGUGCUGAGGAUGAAAAGAGUGGUAUUUGGAGCUUCCCCAAGUCCAUUUUUGCUGGCAGCUACAAUCAGGAAGCACCUGAAACAAUAUGAAACAGAACAACCAGAAGUUGUAGAGAUACUGAGAGAGUCACUCUACGUAGAUGACUUCAUUGCAAGUUCACGCAAUGUUGAAGAGGCUUACCUUGUGACAACAACUGCAAAGCGAAUGCUGUCGAAUGCAGGCAUGGACCUCUGCAAGUGGAUGACCAAUUCUCCUGAAUUGAAAACAAAAUGGGAGGAGAGUACGACAACUGACCACCCGUUGACGUUACAAACACAAGGAGUAGUGCUGAAGGUUUUAGGUUUAGUAUGGAGGCCGGAAACGGAUGACUUUGUGUUUGACCUCAGGCCGCUACUGAGCAUUCUAAGGCAAAAGGAAAACACAAAGAGAAGUGUUCUGCAGUCGUCUGCACGUAUCUUCGACCCUCUUGGUUUCUUAACUCCCUUCACCAUCAGGAUCAAGUGCAUGUUCCAGGAAAUGUGGGAGAGGGGACUCAGCUGGGACGAAGAAUUACCACCUGAUCUGACACGAGAAUGGCAACAGUGGUGUUCAGAACUACCCCAGUUACACCAGCUCACCAUACCAAGGUGGUACAGAACAGACAUGCGGCCACAGAAUAACCACACCCUGAAACUACACGUGUUCUGUGAUGCAAGUGAAAGGGCUUACAGUGCAGUAGCUUACUUGCAAGGUGAGUCACAAGACAGGGAAACAACAAGUCUAGUCGCAUCCAAGUCCAGGGUAGCCCCACUUAAGAAAAUGACGCUGCCACGCCUGGAGCUCAUGGGAGCUGUGAUUGGAGCGAGACUAGCAAACAACUUGAUGACCACACUGAAAAUGGAAGAAAAACAGAUUAACAUGUGGACAGACUCGAUGAUCGUGCUGCAUUGGAUUUGCAGCUCAGCUCAGAAAUGGAAACAGUUUGUUGCGAACAGAGUGACGGAGAUCCAGUCCUUGACCAAUCCAGAGUCAUGGUCACAUAUUGAAGGGACAACUAAUCCAGCUGACCUCCCUACAAGAGGACAAACUGUUAGAAACUUGACACAGAGCGAGCUAUGGUGGAAUGGACCCAGAAUUCUGACAUCACCCAAUCAGUCCGAAGAGACUGAUGAUAACAAGGUUCCGGAUGAGGUGAAUAUAGAACUCAAGUCCAGUUGCCAGGCUACUGUACAACUCGCAGCAAACAGCACAGACAGCACUGAACCUGUGUUGGAGCUUGAAAGGUACAGCAAACUGAAAAGAGUGUUCAGAGUCACCGCCUGGAUAAAGAGAUUCAUAGCCAAUGCUCGUACAACCAUAAAGAUGCAAGGUGAACUGACUGCUGACGAACUGUUCGAUGCAGAAAAGUACUGGAUUAAGGUAACACAACAACAGAGUUUCGGACAGGAGAUCAAACUACUGAAGGCAGGAAAAAGCCUAAACAAUGACUGUAAAAUCAGAGAACUGAAACCUUUCCUGGACGAACACGAACUACUCAGUGUAGGAGGAAGACUGCAACAGUCCAACUUCACAUUCAGAGAGCAGCACCCAUGGGUUCUGCCCAAUAAGUCCAGAUACUCAGAAAUGCUGAUACAGUACCAACAUGAGAAGGUGAUGCAUUCUGGAGCAAGAGACACUCUAGUACAAAUCAGAGAGCGAUACUGGAUCUUGAGUGCUAGGCAGCUAGUCAAGAGCACAGUGGCAAGAUGUAUAGUGUGCAAGAGAUUCAAGGCAAGGGCCGGACAGCAGGUCACUGCGCCUUUACCAAAAGACAGAAUAACUGAAUCCCCACCAUUCGAAGUCACAGGUGUGGAUUUUGCAGGACCGCUCUAUGUGAAAGAAAAUGGUUCUGUGAAGAAGUCAUACAUUGCACUGUUCACUUGUGCUGUAACCAGAGCAGUGCAUUUGGAACUGGUCUCAGAUCAGUCAACAGAGACAUUCUUGUUAGCUCUAAAAAGAUUCAUCUCAAGGAGAGGAUUAUGCAAGGUAAUCUACUCAGACAAUGCAAAAACGUUCAAGAGAGCUGAUCAGGACUUGAAAGAGCUGUGGAAGGCAAUCGAAGAGCCCCAACUAUUGGCGUUCUUCUCAGAAAGGGGCAUCACCUGGAGGUUCAUUGCAGAGCGAGCAGCCUGGUGGGGCGGAUUCUGGGAAAGACUCGUCAGGUCAGUAAAAACAUGCCUGCGAAAGGUUCUUGGGAGAGCUUCACUUAAUUUUGAAGAGAUAUGCACAGUCCUGACAGAGGUUGAAGCUAUCCUAAAUUCUAGGCCUCUGACCUUCGUGCACAAUGAGGUGGAUGAACCACAACCCCUGACCCCAGCACACUUCCUGGUGGGUAAAAGACUAACCUCUUUGCCUCCAAUGCCAUUUCCAGCUGACACUCAGCACCCAACGUUAAACAAGGGGGAAAUGACACGCAGAUGGAAGUACAGGCAGAGACUUGUGACCAGUUUCUGGAACAGUUGGCGAAGGGACUACUUGCUGGAUCUAAAGUCAGCACACCGCUGUGACACACCACAGCCCACCCCACUGAAAGCGGGUGACGUUGUACUCAUUGGAGAAGAUAACCUACCCAGACAAACCUGGAAACUAGGAAAGAUUGAGGAACUGUUUCCAGGCCGAGAUGGCUUAGUUAGAUCAUGUUCAGUUCGUACUGCUUCAGGGACUUUGUUGAGGAGACCUAUUCAGUUGAUAUACUGCCUAGAGAUCUAG